rnacentral:rRNA from 1 species
AGAUUGAACGCUGGCGGCAUGCCUUACACAUGCAAGUCGAACGGCAGCACGGGAGCAAUCCUGGUGGCGAGUGGCGAACGGGUGAGUAAUAUAUCGGAACGUGCCCAGUCGUGGGGGAUAACGCAGCGAAAGCUGUGCUAAUACCGCAUACGAUCUAUGGAUGAAAGCGGGGGAUCGCAAGACCUCGCGCGAUUGGAGCGGCCGAUAUCAGAUUAGCUAGUUGGUGGGGUAAAAGCCUACCAAGGCGACGAUCUGUAGCUGGUCUGAGAGGACGACCAGCCACACUGGAACUGAGACACGGUCCAGACUCCUACGGGAGGCAGCAGUGGGGAAUUUUGGACAAUGGGCGCAAGCCUGAUCCAGCAAUGCCGCGUGCAGGAUGAAGGCCUUCGGUUGUAAACUGCUUUUGUACGGAACGAAACGGUUCUCUCUAAUACAGGGCUAAGUGACGUACCGUAAGAAUAAGCACCGGCUAA